AGGUACAUCGACAGGUUUCUAUCGACCUUUCGGAACGCUAAGAUAUACAGACAACAUUCAUGACAUUAAGAGACUUCAGGACCCGCAGACAAGCUUAAGUCUGAUGUUUGACGUUUGACAGAACACACUCAGACGAAAAGAGGAUGUUAGAUAUAAGAUGAGUGAAUAACCAUCAAGGGCAUAUUCUGUGGCUUAAAUGGCAGACAUGAUCUUAAAAUUAUAUAUAUAUAUAUAUAUAUGUAUGUAUUGGGUGUCCCACUCAUCAAGCUUUUGCUUUUAGGGGCAUCCUAAUCAUUUAAUCUAUACUGUACAUUCAAGUAUGAUUUUGGAUAUAUUUUGGUUUGUAAUUCGAUUUUUUAAAUGAUUGAAUAAAAUUAAUUGAAUUGAAUUGAAUUGGCAAAAGCCUAAUUCUGAAACAAGGGAUACAUCCAUCGACAAUAGGAGAAAACAAUAGGUAGAUCAUAUAAUGUACACAAUAAGCUUUCUAGAAGAUAAAAACCUAGAGGGUAUAUAUUACUCUUUUUUUGGUUGUUGUCCUCCGUGUAUUUUGUUUAAGGUUUAGGUUUAAUCGAUAAUUACGAUUUGGUAUUAAUGUAUAAUUCAAUAUUUCGUAAAGCGUAUAGAGAGUCUUGUGACUAUUAUGCGCUUUAUAAAUUUCAAAUAUUAUUAUCUCACACAGCCACAUACAGAUACGCACUUUGUUCAGAUUGCCCCCCCCCCCCCUCCCCCGCCUACUACACCCCCAGGGAUUUGUGUGUGGUUGGGUUAUUGUUUCCAUUCAUUAACACACUUUAUGCUAACUUCCAGUAACUUCUUUGUGAUUAAGCCAUUCGCUUAAACAUGCCCAUGAAGGACUUGGGUAAUGAAUCGGGAAGUUUGUUUAAUCCCAUUUCAUUUUCAUUGGUCUUUCUUUUGCCGUUUUGUGACUUUGGAUUCAGAAACCAUAUGAGAGGUUAUAGCCUCUCUUUGAUUGAACCAGUCAGCAAUAUCUGGCUUACCGUUCUAGACAAAGAGGCUAAUUUGCCUAAUUAGCCUGCCCGGACGUUCCACACACGUGUGAGCACUGCAGUGCGUGGGCGGAAGUGGUGACUUUUGUCAUUCAUGCUAAUCCUAGCGGGAAUGAUAACUGACGGCAUUUCCGGUCAUCGCUGGUUUUGCGCGCCCAAUUUUGUGUGUUGUCACCCACGUCCGCACAUGUGGAUGUCAUGUGACUUAUCCAGCCAAUCAGAGAUAUGUACCCUGCGAGAUACCGUGCAUACGGCAUUUCGACAGAGUAUAUAAGGCCUGCUUUGUACAAACUUUGCUCAUUCUCCUGAGGACGACAAGAACACACUUGUCGAAACGUCGAGAUACAUGGUGUACCGUGAAACCUACUACACUGAACCAGUCUCUUGAUCACUUUUGAUUAUUUGCAUGUGCUUACUAUUACGUAAAUUAAAGCUUGCCAAGCUCGUGGUCACUGUCAGGAAUUUCAUCCUGCGAAUCCUUCUACCACACUAAACACCUUCGAGUACUAGUGAAUUACCACUCUAAAAAGUCAUCACGGUUUCCAGUGACCAAUCUGCUGAUGAGCACUAGUGUCAUAAACACUGGUCCUUUUCAGGACCGGCCCUGAGUAUCUUCUCAUCCAUGGGCGGAAAUUCCAGGGGGACAGGGGGGACGCGUCCCCCUACCAAAAUAUUAGGGGGACACAAUGUCAAGUGUCCCCUUACUACUUUUGGUCUUUUAUGAUGGAGAAAAAUAAAUCAUUCAAAAUCGAAAUAAUACAUGUAUUUUGGAGUAAAUGACCUUACAUUUUGGUUGAAAAAAUAUUUUUGUUUGCUUGUCAAUAUUUUUUUUUGAAGGGGGGAUGGGUAAAAAUUACCUGAAAUUUUGGGUGACUUUUUUUUCGCUUAUCAAAGAUUUUAGCCUGUGGUCUCCCCUACCUUUGGGGACAGAUUUCCGCCCAUGGUCUCAUCUAACACUGAAUGUCUCACAGACACCAAGCAAGAUCUUCUGGCUGAACUGUGUGUAAAGAACAAAUUGUGACAUCCCUCUGCACUAGACACAUUGUGGGCCUACAUGUUUCCAUCUACGCAUCACUGGUAGUAGUAUGAUCCUCAUCGCAGAAAUACCACAUGAGUACGGUAGUGCGCUAUUUUCACGCAGCGGGCUGAUUGUUGGUAAAUAUGAACUACUUCAGGUUCAGACAUUAUUGAAGUUUGUAAGUUCUGUCUAUAAAGCUCCUAACCAAACAUUCUUCCUACCUCGAGACGCUAAAGGUGGCCGAGUAAAUGUGACUAUUAGGGAUUUCAGUCACAUCAUCAUCUGUGUAUAUAGAGAAAUAAAAGGAGAUGCAACUUGUGGAGAUGCCCUGAUCAGAUACAAAUAAAAUGUCGCUCAUUCAUAAUGCGGAACUUCCCUCCUCCUUCAACAGCUGCAGGUAGAGACGUGGUUACAACCCUGAUCUAGUUUUGUUUCAAACUGUGAGAUUAAGAUUGUGCGGGACCCUAACCAACGCACUCGAAAUCGACCGAAUUUAAAAAAAUCAUGGUUUCUUUUGAUCUUUUUUUCAAUUUCAAUUUUAUAUAUUUUCUUUUGAAUGUUAUAGUUUGCAAUACCAGCCAGCUUUCUUUGACAGUAGAUUGCACUCGACUAAGCACUCGAGCCAGAUCAAUGAAAUGGUACAGUUUUUUCAUCGUUCUGACCCGAGUGUUUGGUCGGGUGUGGUGGCUGUCACAGAUUGCUGACUCACAACAUGCUGCAAUUCCAAUCUCCGUCAUUUAAUCUUGACCGUUUUCUUGUUAUGUUUUUUUUUUAUUAAGGCUCAGAAAUGUCUGCUAUUUCACUUUUUUCCAAUUAACAAUGCAAACAAUAAACACCCCCCCCCCCUGAUUUUUGUAUUUUUUCGGUCAUUUUAUUCUCACUCUUUUUGUAGCAUAAUCCCCCUCCAUAAUGAUGUUUAUGUAAUGUGUAUGGACCUCAGGUGCAAUUUCCAAUCUUAUCCUUUUGUUCUUAUUCGAUUUUUGUGUUAAUUCGUAUUAUAUUCCUUUCAUGUAUUUCUCUAUUUUUUGUUAACUUUGUAUGUAUCAGUCGCCGGACUGCUUUUACAAUGUCUUUCAUAAUAAACCGAAUUGAACUGAAGAAGGAUGCAGCCCUUACUCCUCGCAAAGUCCCCUUCUGCAAACAUUUCAACCUGAAAAAAACGAAACUGGGAGCAGUUUGUCGUAGAUCUGGAUAAUAUAUUCAGGACCUCCCUGCACUCCCUGCUUAUUACCAUUAUUACGACACCUUUUGUAAAAAUGCUGAAAAAAUAUUCAAGGAAGAAUAUUCCGCGAGGAUGCCGUACAAGCAAAACUCCGGGCUUGACGGAUGACUCUUAGCUGUUGUACAAUGAAUAUGCCAGGCUCUUUGAGAAUGAUCCCUUUCGCGCCGAUACACUUGAAUGUGGGGGAAACUUGACUACUGCCAUCAUGGAUAGUAAAAAAAAAAAAAAAAGGCAAGAUUUCAUUGAAUCAACACAUAUGACUUACAGCAGCAGGAAAGCCUCGAAAACAAUUCGGAUCCUUGGAAACGACAAUACGAAGUCUCAACCUAGGCCCCAAGUUUCUGCCGACCAAGUGGCCCAUCAGUUGCUUGUGAACAGUUAAUGUAACCCUAUUCAUUGCCAGCAAUAUUCAACUUCCCUAAAGGUGGAGGAAGAGCCUCUCAAGAGUUAUCUGAAUUACCAAGACAUUUCAGUGUGAACGACAUCGACAUGAACUACGCUAUCAAAGCGGUGAAGAACAAGGCUGCUGGAUUGGAUGAUGUUCUCUGUAAGCAUAUCAAACAUUUUGGAUUUGUUUCACUCCAUUGGCUGUUUGACAGCGAUGAUCUGGUAGGCCCUACUCCUUACUAUGCUGCAUAUUAUCUCCUGGCAAAUCCAGAAUUAAAAAAAAACAACUCGGCGUUUCCACCUUAACAACAGAGAUGCAGACCGGCAAUUGAGGGUCAGUUGGUAUGAAAAAUUGUUGGAACACACUAGCAGGCCAAUCUACCUCGGCGUCACUCUAGACGUUUCCCUUACAUACAAAGAACUUGAUGCCAAGACAAAGGCUAAAGUUGGAGCAAGGAACAGCAUCAUGAAGAAGCUUGCUAACACAAAAUGGGGAAUAGAGGCCAAGACCACCAGUAUGACAGCUCUUGCUCUACGCUACUCGAAUGAGUAUACAGCCCCUGUUUGAUGUAGGUCAGCCCUGAAUGCUUCUUGCAGAGCAAUUACUGGCUGUCUACGACCAACAAGAUUAGAUGAUCUUUACCUACUGUAUGGUAUUGCCCAUUCACACAUCAGAAGAGAGGUGUCAGCUCAGGCCGAAAAAAGCAACAAGCAAGAAGCUAACCCCCAUUAUCCACUCUUUAACCACGAACCUGUCAAACAUAAAAGACUCUAAUCAAAACGUAGCUUCCUUCUAUCGACUGAAUCUUUUGAUGCCUCUGCUCACAAUCAAAGAGCCACUCUAUGGUCUAACGAAUCCUGUCUGUGACACACAAACUGUCCUAUGGACCACUCCCCAAGGUCUGAAUGAGGAAUGGCCAAUCUUGCUAUGUCUUAAUCUCCUACGGUCUGGAACACUACGGUCACUAGCAUACCUACGGGGGGGGCAGUCUGCCCCCUGACGAGUCCCAACCCAUGCAAAGGACGUAUCCGCGGACGGUCUUGCCCCCCCCCCCCCCCCCCCCUGUGGAAAAUCCUAGGUACGCUACUGACUACGGUGCAAAUUCCUAAUGCAGAAAUCGGGCCACAGCAGGGAUGGAGAAACGGCCUGCCCCGUGCUAAAUAUUUAGCACCCCGUGCUAAAUAUUUAGCCCGAUGGGCUAAGUUAGCCGGGGGUGCUAACUAGCCCACGCUUUGAGAAAUGCUCGGUGGGCUAAAUUAGCCCACGGGGGAUAGUUAGCCCAGUGGGCUAAGUUAGCACGGGCUAAGUUAGCCACCCUUUGAGAAUUCGGGCCAUAGAGGAUAAUGUGUAUCUUCUAAGUUUAUCUAUUAAUCUUGUAUUUUGUCUAACUGGAUAUUCAGCAGAGUCAGCCAAUCUUUUCCCCCUUUUUUCUGGUGUUCUUUUAUACCUCUGUCACGUCGUAUUACCCUUACUGCUAUAGGGAAUAUUGGAUGGCCUUGGAUGGGAUGCAUAAAAAUAUUUUACGAGCUGGGGAACCAUAUUGGAUGAGUCGGAGACGAAUCCAAUACUAGCGCGUUUUCGCCCAGCGUCGUACGACGUAGAACGUAAGGGUCGUGUGCAAAAAUCGCCAACUUCCAUGGAAACAGAGGCCCGAGCGUUCUUGAGCUCAAAUCACGGACGGUUCUUCCGCAAAUUAGCGGGCGUCCGCAUUAGAACGUAGGAUUUGUCAACAGCCGUCAACAGCCAAUCAGAUCGCUUGUAGAGCGAGCAAGCUGAGCCGACAGCCAGUUCAUAGAGCGCGGGCGCGGGAUUUUCCCUAGUAGUGGUGACGUCAUGCAGUCUACGUACUUCCGGUCGAUCCGGCCGCGUUCAGCGAUUUGCGAAACUGCUUACAAGCGAGAGUUGAGCGCGACGGACGCACGAACCAAGAGAUCGUUCUACGUCGUAGAUAGCGUCGUACGACGCUGGGCGAAAACGCGCUAUUGUUCUUCAGCGAGUGACAAUCAUUUCUACGCAUCCCACGAAAAUUGGUCAUCGAACUAUUAUUAUUAUUAUUAUUAUUGUUUAGAUACCCCCACAAAGCUAAACAUGAAUUAAUGACGCAAAAAAAAUGUUUUUACUCAUUUUAUGUCAAUCCUGUAAAUCAUGAGCAUGGCGACUGAGUAUUGUCAUUUAAAAAAUAUCUCUGAAAAGAUGCGCUAGCGUAUAGUGCAAGCGCAUUUGAAUUCUAUAAAUAUGCGCAAUGCAUUUCAUUGUGACGUAACAAUUGCUUCAUGCGCACAAUCAUUCAUUAUAACCAAUUUUAAUCUUGUGGGCGGGCAAAAUAUUAAUUUCAUCCAAUAUUUAAGCAAUAUUGACUGGCCUCGGGGCGAUACGACAUAUAUCGCCCAAACUAGAUUUGUAUCGGCUGAGUCGUAGACGAGGGUGAUAUCAAUAUAGUGAGGGCGAUAUAUGUCCUUUCGCCCCCAGGGCAAUCAAUAUUGCUAUUAAUAACCAAAUCAGACAUCUAGAGCAAAGAGCGUUCAAAUUUAGAUAUUUUAAAGUUUAAGAAUGAGAAUCUAGUUUGUCAUGUUGAGAAGACUGGGCCUUUGAACUUUACCAUUGUGACGUAAUUGAAAUGACGCGUCCCUGGCCUAGGGACGCAGUAUCCAACGUUAUAAAAUAGGUGUAUUAUUUCAAGCAUCGCGAUUGGCCAAUACGCGUCACAAUUACGCGUCCAAUACACACGAAAAUUGACAUUGCACGCUCAAGCAAACCAGUGCGGUAGAAGUCCAACAAAACUGUACUGUAACUUUUUUUUAAAUUUGUUUCUGUGUUGCUAUUUUAUAAAACAAAUAAUGAACUUGCUCUGUCGUGCGUAAAAGUAAAUGCAGAGAAAGCUCGGUUUCUUCAGAUGGAGCACACUGGGCACUCGCCGCUAGCGGUUUUCAUAGGCAUACACGUAAAAAUCAGUUUUAAUAUUUUUGUCUGUUUGAAACAACCUCACUGACGUCAAAAAAUAUUUGCGCCUCUAAAACCCUACAUCUAAAUAAUAUUUUUGUCAUCUUCUUCCUUUCUUUUAUUACAUGUCAACUAAACUUGUUUAUGUGCCCAUUACGCGUACAUGUAUAUAUAGGGCAAUUAUUUUUGUUCGUUUCGAAUGGAUUUUUACUGUAAUACUAGUAAGUAUUGUAUCAAUUAUUUUUUUCACAGGUUGCAAAAACUAUAUUGCAGUAUGAUAUCAUUUAAGGUAAUAUUAAUGAAUUGUAUAUAGUGUGACAUGGGUAGUAUGUGGAAUAAUGUUUUUCAUUUUGUGAAGUACACCAUCGUCUCUCAAGAUACUAGUAGUAUGUGUUCAUUCCACUUUAAAUUUGCAUCUAUUGUAACGCAUAUAUAAAUUUGGUGUGUUUUUUUUCAGAGGAAUAUUGUCAAUGGUUACAUUGUAAGGAAAUUCAGCAAUGUGUGAAUUUGUAUGUUUGAAUAAAGUUUGUUUUAUCGAUAUCAACUGAAAGCUUGUUACACUUAAGCCACAAAGAUAGUUUUGGCAAUUUACGAUAAAUUGUAUCUACUAAAGUUUCAAAACGUUUAUGUGACCAAAAAAUGUUUGUGUCAUCUGCGAAUAUUACAAAUGAUAACAAAUGCGUUACAUUAGUCAAUCAGUACUAUAUAUUUUUUUAAAGCAAGGGGUCCGAGAUCGAUCCUUGUGGAACGCUGCAUUUUAUUGAUUAAAGGUUAGAAGAAAUAUUUUUGUGAAUUAUAUUUUUUCUUUCUGACAAAUAACUCUCAAUCCAUGAUAAUGCAAUUACUAUAUCUCCAUAAUUUUAAAGUUUUUUUUAUAAAAUUUGGUGAUCGAGGGUAUCAGAUGCUUUGCUUAGGUCUGGUACUCCUUUUAUGUUCUUUGUUUGUCAUUGCAUUUGUAAUUUUAUCGUAUUAUGUACUAAAGCUUGGUCCGUCGAAUGUCCUUUCCUGAAGGAAAAGCAUCAAGGAACGUGUAAAAUCUGUUGUAAAUAUUUUCUUUCUAAUAUUUUGGAUAUGCUGGUAGGAAUCAAUAUGUGAUUGCAUUUUACCUUUGAAUAUUUUUAGGGAAUUAAGACGUCUGUCGGUGCAGAUCGAUAUAAUCGAAUCAUGAUGCAAUACAUAUUUGUAUAGGAAUGAAAGUGUUUAUUCUAUAUUGAGAUUUGCUUGAUAUGAGAUGUUUUGUUAUUUCAAUUAUUUCCUGAACAUUUGUGGGUUUAAAGAAUAGCGAAUCAUUAGUGGUGUGGGAAGAAAUCUUGCAAAAUUUUGAUUUGGUCUGUAAAGUUGGUUUGCCAAUGAGGGUCCUAUUUAAAAAAAAAAUGAUUUGAAUGUAUCAGCUACAUCUUCUGAAUUUAUUGCGGCAUCAAGAACUGUGAAAUUAUCUUUGGUUAAUGUUUGGAUUACCAGUGUCAAAUCAAAUCAUUAAUGAUCUUCCAUGAGGUUUUCAUAUUUGAUUAAAUCUAUCAAGUUUCUCCAAAUAAAAAGAUUUGCGAGCAGCUCGAAA